AGACCCGAAACCCGGUGAUCUAGCCAUGGGCAGGUUGAAGGUUGGGUAACACUAACUGGAGGACCGAACCGACUAAUGUUGAAAAAUUAGCGGAUGACCUGUGGCUGGGGGUGAAAGGCCAAUCAAACCGGGAGAUAGCUGGUUCUCCCCGAAAGCUAUUUAGGUAGCGCCUCGUGAAUUCAUCUCCGGGGGUAGAGCACUGUUUCGGCUAGGGGGCCAUCCCGGCUUACCAACCCGAUGCAAACUGCGAAUACCGGAGAAUGUUAUCACGGGAGACACACGGCGGGUGCUAACGUCCGUCGUGAAGAGGGAAACAACCCAGACCGCCAGCUAAGGUCCCAAAGUCAUGGUUAAGUGGGAAACGAUGUGGGAAGGCCCAGACAGCCAGGAUGUUGGCUUAGAAGCAGCCAUCAUUUAAAGAAAGCGUAAUAGCUCACUGGUCGAGUCGGCCUGCGCGGAAGAUGUAACGGGGCUAAACCAUGCACCGAAGCUGCGGCAGCGACACUCAGGUGUUGUUGGGUAGGGGAGCGUUCUGUAAGCCUGUGAAGGUGGCCUGUGAGGGUUGCUGGAGGUAUCAGAAGUGCGAAUGCUGACAUAAGUAACGAUAAAGCGGGUGAAAAGCCCGCUCGCCGGAAGACCAAGGGUUCCUGUCCAACGUUAAUCGGGGCAGGGUGAGUCGACCCCUAAGGCGAGGCCGAAAGGCGUAGUCGAUGGGAAACGGGUUAAUAUUCCCGUACUUGGUGUUACUGCGAAGGGGGGACGGAGAAGGCUAUGUUGGCCGGGCGACGGUUGUCCCG
rnacentral:rRNA from 1 species